AGUGAACGCUGGCGGCGUGCUUAACACAUGCAAGUCGAACGAGAACGGAAUAUAGCUUGCUAUAUUUGUCAGCUAAGUGGCGCACGGGUGAGUAAUGUAUAGAUAACCUGCCCUUAAGAAAGGAAUAACAGUUGGAAACGACUGCUAAUGCCCUAUAUGCCUUUAAUACAUAAGUAUGCAAGGGAAACGCUUUAGUGCUUGAGGAUGGGUCUGUAUGGUAUCAGCUCGUUGGUGAGGUAAUGGCUCACCAAGGCUAUGACGCCUAACUGGUUUUAGGGGAUGAUCAGUCACACUGGAACUGAGACACGGUCCAGACUCCUACGGGAGGCAGCAGUGGGGAAUAUUGCACAAUGGACGAAAGUCUGAUGCAGCAACGCCGCGUGGAGGAUGACACAUUUCGGUGCGUAAACUCCUUUUAUAUAGGAAGAUAAUGACGGUACUAUAUGAAUAAGCACCGGCUAACUCCGUGCCAGCAGCCGCGGUAA
rnacentral:rRNA from 1 species